rnacentral:rRNA from 1 species
UACGAAGGGGGCUAGCGUUGUUCGGAAUUACUGGGCGUAAAGCGCGUGUAGGCUGCUCUGCAAGUCGGGUGUGAAAGCCCCGGGCUCAACCUGGGAAGUGCACUCGAAACUGCAGAGCUCGAGUCCUGGAGAGGAAGGCGGAAUUCUCGGUGUAGAGGUGAAAUUCGUAAAUAUCGAGAGGAACACCGGUGGCGAAGGCGGCCUUCUGGACAGUGACUGACGCUGAGACGCGAAAGCGUGGGGAGCAAACAGG